GAUGAACGCUGGCGGCGUGCUUAACACAUGCAAGUCGAACGGAAAGGCUCCAGCUUGCUGGAGUACUCGAGUGGCGAACGGGUGAGUAACACGUGGGUGAUCUGCCCUGCACUUCGGGAUAAGCCUGGGAAACUGGGUCUAAUAGCGGAUAGGACCGCACUCUGGUGUGUGUGGUGGAAAGGUUUUUCUGGUGUGGGAUGAGCUCGCGGCCUAUCAGUUUGUUGGUGGGGUAAUGGCCUACCAAGACGGCGACGGGUAGCCGGCCUGAGAGGGUGGACGGGCACAUUGGGACUGAGAUACGGCCCAGACUCCUCCGGGAGGCAGCAGUGGGGAAUAUUGCACAAUGGGGGAAACCCUGAUGCAGAGACGCCACGUGGGGGAUGAAGGCCUUCGGGUUGUAAACUCCUUUCGCUAGGGACGAAGCUUUUUGUGACGGUACCUGGAUAAGAAGCACCGGCUAACUACGUG
rnacentral:rRNA from 1 species